rnacentral:misc_RNA from 1 species
GAAAAGUUGGCUGAGUAGCGUCGGAGCAAAAGUGGCUAAGAGUUGAUCAUGCGUUAGUAUGGCUACGCGUGGAGAAUACGUUGGAUGCUCUGAGGCGUUGAGUUAUCAUGCCAUGAAGUGAGGGUGUCUUAUGCGUUUGUAAAGGCUGUUAUGCGUUGAUGAUGGGUAUGCGUUGGUAUAUUAGAAGAGUGACCGAGAGAGAGACGUGCGUUAGUCGGCUAUUUGUCGAUGGGGCGUUGGGCAUUUAUAUCACACCCAGUCGAGACUAUGCGUUGCUAAGCCCUGCACUGAAGGUAUUCAUUGAAUAACUAAGUACAGAGAGAAGAGAUAAAGUGUAAGUCGGUG